rnacentral:rRNA from 2 species
GUCGGUGACCAUAGGACUGGGGAAACACCUGUUCCCAUCCCGAACACAGCAGUUAAGCCCAGUCCGCCGAUGAUACUGCUCAGCGGGAAAGUAGGUCAUCGCCGACG